UACAGAGGUCCCGAGCGUUAGGCGGAAUCACUGGGCUUAAAGCGUGUGUAGGUGGAUCGUUAAGUACCUUGUGAAAUCCCACGGCUUAACCGUGGAACUGCUUGGUAUACUGGCGGUCUUGAGCCAGCUAGGGGCUACCGGAACAAAUGGUGGAGCGGUGAAAUGACGCAGAUAUCGGGAGGAACACCGGUGGCGAAGGCGGUUCUCUGGGCCUUACCUGACGCUGAGGAGCGAAAGCGUGGGG
rnacentral:rRNA from 1 species